GACGAACGCUGGCGGCGUGCCUAAUACAUGCAAGUAGAACGCUGAAGUCUGGUGCUUGUACCGGAUGGAUGAGUUGCGAACGGGUGAGUAACGCGUAGGUAACCUACCUCAUAGCGGGGGAUAACUAUUGGAAACGAUAGCUAAUACCGCAUAACAGUCUUUAACCCAUGUUAGAGAUUUGAAAGGGGCAAGAGCUUCACUAUGAGAUGGACCUGCGUUGUAUUAGCUAGUUGGUGAGGUAAAGGC
rnacentral:rRNA from 1 species